rnacentral:rRNA from 1 species
AGAGUUUGAUUAUGGCUCAGAUUGAACGCUGGCGGCAUGCCUUACACAUGCAAGUCGAACGGUAACGCGGGGCAACCUGGCGACGAGUGGCGAACGGGUGAGUAAUACAUCGGAACGUGCCCAGUAGUGGGGGAUAGCCCGGCGAAAGCCGGAUUAAUACCGCAUACGACCUAAGGGUGAAAGGGGGGGAUCGCAAGACCUCUCGCUAUUGGAGCGGCCGAUGUCAGAUUAGGUAGUUGGUGGGGUAAAAGCCUACCAAGCCGGCGAUCUGUAGCUGGUCUGAGAGGACGACCAGCCACACUGGGACUGAGACACGGCCCAGACUCCUACGGGAGGCAGCAGUGGGGAAUUUUGGACAAUGGGCGCAAGCCUGAUCCAGCCAUGCCGCGUGCGGGAAGAAGGCCUUCGGGUUGUAAACCGCUUUUGUCAGGGAAGAAACGGUCUGGGCGAAUAACCUGGGCUAAUGACGGUACCUGAAGAAUAAGCACCGGCUAACUACGUGCCAGCAGCCGCGGUAAUACGUAGGGUGCAAGCGUUAAUCGGAAUUACUGGGCGUAAGGCGUGCGCAGGCGGUCCUAUAAGACAGAUGUGAAAUCCCCGGGCUCAACCUGGGAACUGCAUUUGUGACUGUAGGGCUUGAGUACGGUAGAGGGGGAUGGAAUUCCGCGUGUAGCAGUGAAAUGCGUAGAUAUGC